rnacentral:rRNA from 1 species
UACGUAGGGUGCGAGCGUUGUCCGGAAUUACUGGGCGUAAAGAGCUCGUAGGUGGUUUGUCGCGUUGUUCGUGAAAUCUCACGGCUUAACUGUGAGCGUGCGGGCGAUACGGGCAGACUGGAGUACUGCAGGGGAGACUGGAAUUCCUGGUGUAGCGGUGAAAUGCGCAGAUAUCAGGAAGAAUAUCCGUGGCGAAGGCGGCUCUCUGGUACGGCACUGACGCUGAGACGCGAAAGCGUGGGGAGCGAACAGG